GACGAACGCUGGCGGCGUGCUUAACACAUGCAAGUCGAACGGUGAAGCGCCUUCCUUUUUGGUGGGUGUGGAUGAGUGGCGAACGGGUGAGUAACACGUGAGUAACCUGCCCCCUUCUUCUGGAUAACCGCAUGAAAGUGUGGCUAAUACGGGAUAUUCUGGGUCUGUCGCAUGAUGGGUCUGGGAAAGAUAUUGUUUCGGUGGGGGAUGGGCUCGCGGCCUAUCAGCUUGUUGGUGGGGUGAUGGCCUACCAAGGCGGUGACGGGUAGCCGGCCUGAGAGGUUGGCCGUUCCACCGGGGAUGGGGCCCGGGCCCGGCUCCUACGGGGGGCAGCAGGGGGGAAUAGUGGACAAUGGGGGCCAGGCUGAUGCAGCGACGCCGCGGGAGGGAUGGAGGCCUUCGGGUUGUGAACCUCUUUCGCCAGUGAAGCAGGCCUGCCUCGUUUGUGGGUGGGUUGACGGUAGCUGGAUAAGAAGCGCCGGCUAACUACGUG
rnacentral:rRNA from 1 species